rnacentral:misc_RNA from 1 species
UCCCGUUUGACACGGGCAGUCCCUUUAGAGUGCCCAACUUAAUGAUGGCAACUAAAGGCAAGGGUUGCGCUCGUUGCGGGACUUAACCCAACAUCUCACGACACGAGCUGACGACAGCCAUGCACCACCUGUGAAGGUGCCCCGAAGGGAGACCGUGUUUCCACGGCUGUCACCUACAUGUCAAGCCCAGGUAAGGUUCUUCGCGUUGCGUCGAAUUAAACCACAUGCUCCGCUGCUUGCGCGGGCCCCCGUCAAUUCCUUUGAGUUUUAGCCUUGCGGCCGUACUUCCCAGGCGGAGAACUUAAUGCGUUAGCUGCGGCACCGCGGGGGUCAACACCCACGACACCUAGUUCUCAUCGUUUACGGCAUGGACUAC